rnacentral:misc_RNA from 1 species
UCUCCGUUGGUGAACCAGCGGAGGGAUCACUACCGAGUGCAAACUCAUAACCCUUUGUGAACCUAUAUCUGUUGCUUCGGCGGCUCGCUCUCGGGCGAGCCCGCCGGUAAUAUCAGCAUCUCUGUUUGAACCCGACGAUACUUCUGAGUGUUCUUAGCGAACAGUUAAAACUUUUAACAACGGAUCUCUUGGCUCUA